rnacentral:rRNA from 1 species
GAACGCUGCGGCAUGCUUUACACAUGCAAGUCGGACGGCAGCACAGAGAAGCUUGCUUCUUGGGUGGCGAGUGGCGAACGGGUGAGUAACAUAUCGGAACGUACCGAGUAGUGGGGGAUAACUGAUCGAAAGAUCAGCUAAUACCGCAUACGUCUUGAGAGGGAAAGCAGGGGACCUUCGGGCCUUGCGCUAUUCGAGCGGCCGAUAUCUGAUUAGCUAGUUGGUGGGGUAAAGGCCCACCAAGGCGACGAUCAGUAGCGGGGUCUGAGAGGAUGAUCCGCCACACUGGGACUGAGACACGGCCCAGACUCCUACGGGAGGCAGCAGUGGGGAAUUUUGGACAAUGGGCGCAAGCCUGAUCCAGCCAUGCCGCGUAUCUGAAGAAGACCUUCGGGUUGUAAAGGACUUUUGUCAGGGAAGAAAAGGCUGUUGCUAAUAUCAGCGGCUGAUGACGGUACCUGAAGAAUAAGCACCGGCUAACUACGUG